AUUGAACGCUGGCGGCAUGCUUUACACAUGCAAGUCGAACGGUAAGGCCCUUCGGGGUACACGAGUGGCGAACGGGUGAGUAACACGUGGGUGAUCUGCCCUGCACUUCGGGAUAAGCCUGGGAAACUGGGUCUAAUACCGGAUAGGACCACUGCCUGCAUGGGCGUUGGUGGAAAGCUUUUGCGGUGUGGGAUGGGCCCGCGGCCUAUCAGCUUGUUGGUGGGGUGAUGGCCUACCAAGGCGACGACGGGUAGCCGGCCUGAGAGGGUGACCGGCCACACUGGGACUGAGAUACGGCCCAGACUCCUACGGGAGGCAGCAGUGGGGAAUAUUGCACAAUGGGCGCAAGCCUGAUGCAGCGACGCCGCGUGAGGGAUGACGGCCUUCGGGUUGUAAACCUCUUUCAGCACCGACGAAGCGCAAGUGACGGUAGGUGCAGAAGAAGGACCGGCCAACUACGUGCCAGCAGCCGCCGUAAUAC
rnacentral:rRNA from 1 species